rnacentral:sRNA from 1 species
UUUUAGCCCCGAUCGCAACGGUAUCCUUUUUUGAGGAGGAAAGACGAAAAAAAGACCUGCCUGUCGGCAGAUAGGUAUAGUGGAGAGCGGGUGAGGAU